AAAGAUACCCACUGCGGGUUUAUGCUGCAAAAAAAAAUAAGGACGUUCUCCCAGGGCGAGGCCUUUCCAUUGCACUUCGGUUGGGCUGACCCUUGCGAUCACCCCAAAUGUGGGUGACUCGGGUGCAGCAUUUAUGGUAGUGGGGGACUGCGUACGCGCUAUCCCCUU